CGACCACCUUCAGCUCCCGAAACUCGUGCCUGCUCGCUCCGAUCGCCACGUGGUGCGCUAUGUUCCCGCCGGCGCUGUCCCCGGCCAGAAAACACUGCCCGAGAUUCGAGCCCUCGAACAAGCUACUUUGACUGUCUUCGAUGAACUUGAGGACUUCGAAACCAUCGUCGUACUGGCACGGAUAUCGAUGCUCCGGCGCGAGGCUGUAGUUGACGGAGACGACGACGGCGGGGAGCUCGCGAGCGAGGCGUUGACAGAAGUCGUCGUAGGG
rnacentral:lncRNA from 1 species